GCGAAAGAGCUUUGUGCAUUCUUGCAUGACUAAGGAAGAAAUUUGUUAUUUUAAGUAUGCACUACAGAUAUUGCAAGGGCUUCGAGAUGCACCAUCAGGGCUGAAACGAGUCUUAUACCGGCUGCAAAAUUAUUAUGCUUUUGGGUCUUUCCUGAAUUUAGUUAGCAAUAAAUACUUCUAGAAUCCCUCUUGCAAUAUGUAAAAGAAGGAAAAGAGAACAUUGGAG